UAUCUGGAAGGAGUUGAAGAGGGUUUUCUUGAAAAGAGUUUUCUCACUAUCCUAAGUGUUGCAGCUAAAAGACGAAAUGUAUAACAUCAAGAAACUAAGUAUAGAAUCUUCGUACGAGUCAUAGUUAAGGUUCAACAGAAAGAUGAAGUAAUGUCCUAAUCACAGGUACCUGACGAGAGUUUGUUAGACAUCUUCCGUAGGUCUUUAAAUGCAAAUACCAAGGCAUAGCUGAUGCUCUUACUGGAGGAGCUUUUACGAGUCACACUUGUGCAGAUGCAACAGUGAUGCUCAAUAGAGUCACGAAAACCAACAUGGCAUGGCACACGUGGUAAUCUAAAGUUUCUGUUGGAUUAACCAAGUGCAAAUUUUGAGUUACAUUGGAUGACAUUGGAUGCUUACAUUCUUUCGAAGAGUUAACACUUAGCGGAAAUAGUUUUGAGUAGUUUCUUCAGAGUAUAGCCCAACUUGGUGCUCUUCGAUUCUUGGACUUAUCACAUUGCAAGAAGAUUAAUUUUGAACUUAUCGUGGGGAUGAAAAACUUGGAGACUUUAAAUCUCAGUUACUGCAAUCUAAUAGAUGGAGAACUUCCGAAUGACAUUGGAUGCUUAUCCUCUUUGAAAAGGUUGAAUCUCAGUGGAAAUAAUUAUGGGCAUUUGCCUCGAAGCAUAGCCAACUUGGUGCUCUUCGGUGCUUGGACGUAUCACAUUGCAAGAGGCUUACACAGCUGCCAGAAUUACCAGUUCAAUUAGAUACAAUUGAAGCAGAUUGGACAAAUUAUUGGAUCUGUAAUUCGUUAUUUCAGAAUAUCUCAUUAUUGCAGUAUGGCAUCUCUGCUUCAGACUCCUUGUCACUAAGAGUGAUUACAGGUUUGCAGUGGCAUGGGAUGCCAACGUUUCCAUACAAGGGAAUUGUUGGUGUAUCAGUCUUUUUGCCUAAGAAUUGGUGCAUACAUGAUAGCUUCUUGGGAUUUGCUGUAUGUUGCAAUGGCGAAUUAACUGACGUCACAGCUCACUUGAUUCCUUUAUCUGAUGAUGGGAUGUCGUGCAUCACCCGGAAACUUGCCUUUUCAAAAUAUCUAGGAUAUUAUGGUACUCAUUUUUUCUUGAUACCUUUUGCUGGUUUAUGGGAUAUAUCUAAUUAAAUGGAAAAACAACAAAUGACUAUAGGCACAUCAUGUUAUCUUCCUCCGAAAAAAUUAAUUAUAUAUUUCGUUUGUUGUAUAAAGAUGAACUAGGCGUUUAGUCCUUGUUGCAAAUAAGGGAAAAUAAUGAUCAACAUUGUCUUGGGACAAGGAGGAGUAGAUUUGAUGAUUGUGAACACCAUGAUGAAACCAGUCGCUCCUGAUUCUUUCUUCUUUCCCCUAUUAAGGAGCUCAUUGAUGGGUGAUUUGCAUAUCGUCAGUGAGUUUUUAGUAGCAGAUGAAUACUUCAAUGCUAUUUCCUUUGUUAUCAUUUUCUUGUCGAAAGGUAAUGAUCAUGCUCUAACUUUAUCAAUACACUUUCGCUACAUGUGGGGUACUUCCUUAUAUCAUCAUUCCUUCAAACUACUCUCCUAUAAUCUCCAUCAGAAACUGAUGCUCACCUUUUUACUAGUCAAAUAAUUUUCAUUAGUAGAUGGGGAUGCCUAUGCAGAGAAAAGGCAAACUGCUAUUACAUCAGAUAAAUGACAAAUUGCUACUGUGGUAAAGUUAAGGUCUUAUCAUCUAUCAAAUUUCUUGCAAAAACAUUGAGAGAUAGAUAGUUAAGCGAAAAAGUUACUUCGCGGCUCUUUGCUCUCAAGACUCUUCGCACUAAUUAAUGAUUCAAUCUGAUUUUGUGAUCACUCCUUUUGGAUUAGGAGUAGACUGUUUUUUAAAUCUUAUGGUCUGCUGUCUUGUUGACAUUGAAUUGAUAAAUUAAGGUGUAACAUCCAUAUUUGGAUUACUUGUAAGUGGUUCUAACACUAUUUUUAGUCUGGUUUUCGAUUAUUUUUGCAGUGCAAACUGACAAGCGAAUACAACAGAUCAAUUAGACUCUUGGCCUGAGAAAGAGAUUCGUGAAAGAACUUGGAUGAAUAUGUGCAAAAGAGGAAAACUUUGCCAUAAUGGCCGAUGAAAGAAGCAUUGCAACUAUUUGUAAGUUCCCUCACAUCAAAAAGCAAACGGAGCAAAGGAGAAUUAUUUCCGAUAAUCAAACGUACCUCCACUGAUAGAGCCAACUAUUCUUCUGUUGGAAUGUAGAGCUCAAAUACUUUCUCUGCCACCACAAAGUUCUUCAUUGAUUCUGAUCCACUGUCAAAUCUGCGUGUGGUACCAAUACGAAGAACAGUUUUUUAAUGUCAGAAUUAGAGUUGUGUGACAUUGCAGAGAAUUAGAAUCAAACAAGAUGAACACACACAUAGCUAUAGAA